GCCGCCCGCGCCCCCGCCCGCGCCCAGGCCGCGGCUCUCCGGGCUCUUGGGGAAGGGCUUGAUGACCGCCGUCUGGUUGGGGCUCUCCUUCUUGUUGAUGUGUAUGGACAGCCGCUGCCACAGGUGCUGGCCGCGGCUGCUCUUCUCGUUCUGGGCCCACGUGACGGACUUUCCGUUGGAGCUGCGGAGAGAAGGAGACCACAGUACACCAUAUUUGUUUUUGAAGUGAGCUGUCCUUAUCUAAUUGAAGAGAAGCUCUCAGAUGUUACCUGGUGAUGAUAUGCAUCUUUAAGUCGGUCCUUGAGAGGAGGAGGCAGAUGGGCAGGUGGAAGGGUGCUGAGGACAAGGAAAAUGAGAGAUUGUGGAGCAUGGGAACAAGGAGUCCAUUGGGCAACUAUAGGGUACAGAUCACAAGGGAUUUAAAGCUUCACAAGAGGAAAAAACCAUUUCUAGCAGGAGGGGAGUGACCAGAGAAUGACACUUGCCUGCAGGAGACAGAUUGUAUCUACUCCUUGAAAAAUUAGUAGAUUAUGGCAAAAUCCAAAAAUAGCAGUAAGCAUUGCCCUCCAGUAAAGAUAGCAGUGACAUAAGUUCAGGAAACCAGAAAGGAUAUUCUAAGAUAACCAGUAGUCCAAUUUGACUGUGUGGGAAUGAAUAAGAAGUUAAAGCAUCAAAAGAUAGAGUUUGGGCCUUUUUGUCCGCUAUAAAAAUGCUGUGUGGCCACCUAAGAUCUGAAAGGAUCUUCUUUCUUUUCCUUUCUUUUGCUAUUUUAAUAACUCAUUAGUAAUUAACUUUGGACUUUUUAUCAAUGUCUGGAAUAAACAGGUGGUCCAAUAUAUUUGGCCAGAGAGAUGGUCUAAUUACAUAGAUAAUCUACAUGCUUGAGCAAUAAAUGAAUAUAUAAAGAAAUACUCAUGGGUUCUUUUCUGUAUUAUUCUUCAACUGUAAGAAUUCUUUUCUGUUAUUUAAUAUUUAGGUAUUCAAUAAUUCUGGAGCUCAACAAAAACAAUUAAAUGUAGGAAUCAUGCCGAAACCUUCUUUAAACCCUUACUGCAGAUUAAUCCAUUGACCUUGUUCCUUGUCUGCCCCAGUCCUGGUCCUCCUUCAGGAAUAUGUGAAGGCCUAAUUAAUAUCUGUUAAGUUAAUUAGUCCUUCAGGCAAUAAGGAACCAGAAGAUUGAUAGAAAAGAAUGGUGUCCAGGGAGAUUUAGGAAGCUGUUUUCAUAGUGCAGGGACAUAUUGUUAAGAUGCUAACAGGUGUGGAAAAAAUGGAAAUGGAAAGGAAUAUACUGAUCUGAAAACUGUUGUGGAAGAAAAGACAGUCGUCCUUGCCCAUUGGUAUUAGAGGAAUGCAGAGAAAACGUUCACUGGGGAAAGAAGUUUCAAGGAAGGAUUUGCAAAUAAAGUGGAGAUUAACGAGGCCUUAAAGCCUAGGGAAUAUUAAAAUAACACGGAUAAACAAAAUCCAAUUAAUAUGUGUAUUGCAUAUAUGGCAAAGCAGCUAAUGCCACAUGCUCAAUCCCAUGAAACCCUUCCAACAACCUUGUGAGGUGGACUUUUGCCUCCCUUUUGAGUAGCCGGGAGCGAGCCGGGAGUGGCUGCCUGCUUCUACGAUAAUUCCCUCUGCCCCCUAGAACAUCUCUUGUUAGGCAUUUAGUCCCUAAUAAAAUCCUUGUAGGAUGAGAACCACUUGGCCCUAUUUUAACUAGUCUUUGGUUUACAGAAUGCCUUUUCAACAGGUCACAAUCCAUCCAGGGUGGGUUAUUAAAAUGCCCUGUGGUUCUAGUACAGCUGCUAUAUCCCCUACGUCCUCAUAAGGAGAAAGCAUCUAACAAAGGCUAUAAAGCAGGAGCAUGUGCCAAGCAGAGGCAUUCUGUUGGAUCAUCACAGAGUUUUCUUUCCCAAAUUAAGCUAUUUUUUGAUCCAAAAUUCAGUAACCCAGACUCAAGCCUCAAACUAAACUACUCCUCACACUGAGACCUAAGUUCUAGGCUUUUAGUCGAGGUACUUCAACUAAGAUGAGAGGAA